rnacentral:rRNA from 1 species
UACAGAGGGGGCAAGCGUUGUUCGGAAUUACUGGGCGUAAAGGGCGCGUAGGUGGCCCGCUAAGUCGAACGUGAAAUCCCCGAGCUCAACUCGGGAACUGCGUCCGAUACUGGUGGGCUUGAAUCCGGGAGAGGGAUGCGGAAUUCCAGGUGUAGCGGUGAAAUGCGUAGAUAUCUGGAGGAACACCGGUGGCGAAGGCGGCAUCCUGGACGGAUACUGACGCUGAGACGCGAAAGCGUGGGGAGCAAACAGG